ACACCCCUAGGACCCCUUUUAUAGGGUCCUAGAGGCGUUUCCAUUCAAUAGAGUGGGGCCCACCUCAUUAUGGUGCCCUAUUGAAGGGUGCCAUAAUGGGGUGGGCCCGCCCGCGUAACGGCUGGGAGUCGGCGACUCAGGUGUGGGAGUCGCCGAUCCAGGAGUGGAAUCGCCGAUUCCUUGGAGGCCAAGUCCUCGGUCUACCAGACCCGAGAUCCCUGGCUGGAAUCGGCGAUUCACCCUUGGAGUCGGCGACUUGGUA
rnacentral:lncRNA from 1 species